AGAGUUUGAUCCUGGCUCAGAAUCAACGCUGGCGGCGUGCCUAACACAUGCAAGUCGAACGCGAAAAGGGCUUCGGCUCUGAGUAGAGUGGCGUCCGGGUGAGUAACGCGUGGGUAAUCUUCCGUUGGGUGGGGAAUAACUAGUCGAAAGAUUAGCUAAUACCGCAUAAUGUGGCCUUCUAUUGAGGGUUAUUAAAGCAGCAAUGCGCCUAAUGAUGAGCCUGCGUCUGAUUAGUUUGUUGGUGGGGUAAUGGCCUACCAAGACUACUAUCAGUAGCUGGUCUGAGAGGACGGCCAGCCACAAUGGCACUGAAACACGGGCCAUACUCCUACGGGAGGCAGCAGUGGGGAAUUUUGCGCAAUGAGCGAAAGCUUGACGCAGCAACGCCGCGUGAAGGAUGAAAUCCUUCGGGAUGUAAACUUCGCAAGUAUGGGAAGAAACAAAUGACGGUACCAUAUGUAAGCCCCGGCUAACUCCGUGCCAGCAGCCGCGGUAAU
rnacentral:rRNA from 1 species